rnacentral:rRNA from 1 species
ACGGGUGAGUAACACGUGGGAACGUGCCCUUCGGUUCGGAAUAACUCAGGGAAACUUGAGCUAAUACCGGAUACGCCCUUAUGGGGAAAGGUUUACUGCCGAAGGAUCGGCCCGCGUCUGAUUAGCUUGUUGGUGGGGUAACGGCCUACCAAGGCGACGAUCAGUAGCUGGUCUGAGAGGAUGAUCAGCCACACUGGGACUGAGACACGGCCCAGACUCCUACGGGAGGCAGCAGUGGGGAAUAUUGGACAAUGGGCGCAAGCCUGAUCCAGCCAUGCCGCGUGAGUGAUGAAAGCCUUAGGGUUGUAAAGCUCUUUUGUCCGGGACGAUAAUGACGGUACCGGAAGAAUAAGCCCCGGCUAACUUCGUGCCAGCAGCCGCGGUAAUACGAAGGGGGCUAGCGUUGCUCGGAAUCACUGGGCGUAAAGGGCGCGUAGGCGGCCGAUUAAGUCGGGGGUGAAAGCCUGUGGCUCAACCACAGAAUUGCCUUCGAUACUGGUUGGCUUGAGACCGGAAGAGGACAGCGGAACUGCGAGUGUAGAGGUGAAAUUCGUAGA